rnacentral:lncRNA from 1 species
UUAAUUACAAUUAAGUUUUUAUUUGUUUAAAAUUUUAUUGCAUUGUUACCACGUUUUUUUUAGUAUAUCUUCAUUUAUCCAUAUAAUAUUUUAUAAGAAAUGUAUAUUGUCAUCAUGUGUCUGUUGGAUACACCUAUUAUAUUUCUUAAAUUAGUUUAAUAGUCGAAAUUUCAUAAUUUUAAAGAUGAAUAAGUAAAAUAUUGCAGGUUCAAACUCAUAUUUAGUUUGUUAUUUUAUCUUUUCUCUGAUAUUCUCCUAUUUUUUUAGCUAAAUUUUGUCUGAGUUAUUAUAAGGGUUGAGUACCCUCUAAUUUUUCACUCAAUUAACCCACUUUUAAAAAAAAUAAACCAAAAUAACCCACUUUUUAGUUUAAUUCCC